GGAGAGGCAAGCGUUGUCCGGAAUUAUUGGGGCGUAAAGAGCGCGUAGGCUGUUUUUCAAGUCAUAUGUGAAAACCUCAGGGCUUAACUUGAGGACUGCAUAUGAAACUGGAAAACUUGAGUGCAGUAGGGGAAAGUGGAAUUCCUGGUGUAGCGGUGAAAUGCGCAGAUAUCAGGAAGAACACCGGUAGCGAAGGCGGCUUUCUGGGCUGCUACUGACGCUGAGGCGCGAAAGCUAGGGGAGCAAACAGGAUUAGAUACCCUGGUAGUCCUAGCUGUAAACGAUGGACACUAGGUGUGGGAAGUUAUCGACGCUUUCCGUGCCGGAGCUAACGCAUUAAGUGUCCCGCCUGGGGAGUACGGCCGCAAGGCUA
rnacentral:rRNA from 1 species